UCACCUACGGGUGGGCAGCAGUGGGGAAUAUUGCACAAUGGGCGCAAGCCUGAUGCAGCCAUGCCGCGUGUAUGAAGAAGGCCUUCGGGUUGUAAAGUACUUUCAGCGGGGAGGAAGGUGUUGUGGUUAAUAACCACAGCAAUUGACGUUACCCGCAGCAGAAGCACCGGCUAACUCCGUGCCAGCAGCCGCGGUAAUACGGAGGGUGCAAGCGUUAAUCGGAAUUACUGGGCGUAAAGCGCACGCAGGCGGUCUGUCAAGUCGGAUGUGAAAGCCCCGGGCUCAACCUGGGAACUGCAUUCGAAACUGGCAGGCUAGAGUCUUGUAGAGGGGGGUAGAAUUCCAGGUGUAGCGGUGAAAUGCGUAGAGAUCUGGAGGAAUACCGGUGGCGAAGGCGGCCCCCUGGACAAAGACUGACGCUCAGGUGCGAAAGCGUGGGGAGCAAACAGGAUUAGAUACCCGAGUAGUCAG
rnacentral:rRNA from 1 species